UACGGGGGGGCAAGCGUUGUUCGGAAUUACUGGGCGUAAAGGGUUUGUAGGUGGCUUGCUAGGUCAGACGUGAAAUCCCUCAGCUUAACUGGGGAACUGCGUCUGAUACUGGCGAGCUUGAGUGCAGGAGAGGAACGCGGAAUUCCAGGUGUAGCGGUGAAAUGCGUAGAUAUCUGGAGGAACACCGGUGGCGAAGGCGG
rnacentral:rRNA from 1 species